rnacentral:rRNA from 1 species
CCUACGGGAGGCAGCAGUGAGGAAUAUUGGUCAAUGGCCGGAAGGCUGAACCAGCCAUGCCGCGUGAAGGUCAGUGCCCUAUGGGCGUUAAACUUCUUUUGUGCGGGAGCAAUAAUGGUCACGUGUGGCCAGACGAGAGUACCGUACGAAUAAGCAUCGGCUAACUCCGUUCCAGCAGCCGCGGUAAUACGGGAGGUGCAAGCGUUAUCCGGAUUUAUUGGGUUGAAAGGGUGCGUAGGCUGUGAGGUAAGUCAGCGGUGAAAUGCCCCCGGUCAACGGGGUGAAGUGCCAUUGAUACUGCCUUGCUUGAAUGCGGAUGCCGUGGGAGGAAUGUGUGGUGUAGCGGUGAAAUGCAUAGAUAUCACACAGAACACCGAUUGCGAAGGCAUCUCACGAAUCCGCGAUUGACGCUGAUGCACGAAAGCGUGGGUAUCAAACAGGAUUAGAUACCCCAGUAGUC